rnacentral:rRNA from 1 species
AGUGGGGAAUUUUGCGCAAUGGGGGAAACCCUUACGCAGCAACGCCGCGUGAAGGAUAAAGUCUUUCGGAAGGUAAACUCCUUUCGAUCGGGACGAUUAUGCCGGUACCGGAAGAAGAAGCCCCGGCUAACUUCGUGCCAGCAGCCGCGGUAAUACAAGGGGGGCGAGCGUUGUUCGGAAUUAUUGGGCGUAAAGGGUGCGUAGGCGGUUUGGUAAGUCUUAUGUGAAAUCUUUGGGCUCAACCCAAAGUCUGCACGAGAAACUGCCGGGCUUGAGUAUGGGAGAGGUGAGUGGAAUUUCCGGU